GGUUUAAUUGCAGAGGAAGGAUUUGGAGACAAUGACGCCCUUCGGGGUCUCUGUGAAGGUGCUGCAUGGUUGUCGUCAGCUCGUGCCGUGAGGUGUCGGCUUAAGUGCCAUAACGAGCGCAACCCCUCUCCUUAGUUGCCAUCAGGUCAUGCUGGGCACUCUGGGGACACUGCCACCGUAAGGUGUGA
rnacentral:rRNA from 1 species